AAUAGAGCGAUGAUGAAUGAUAGUAAUUAUUGAGAACAGUUCAGAGAGAUGAUCAAUUGCUGAAAGAUCAUUACUGAAAUCGAUAAUGAAUUCCUUUCGGAGUGAGUUCCUGAACGAGAUGGUCGAUUAAGCGGCCAUGAGUAGGGAGUUACGCGGUUCGGCGUUAAGAAUUUAAGUGUUGAGGUUCUCAUGGCGAGAAUUUCAAAAAUAGGGUGGUACCGCGAUGCCUCGUCCCUUUG
rnacentral:ncRNA from 1 species